rnacentral:rRNA from 1 species
UACGUAGGUGGCAAGCGUUGUCCGGAUUUACUGGGCGUAAAGAGCGCGCAGGCGGUCGAAUAAGUCGAAUGUGAAAGCCCCCGGCUUAACUGGGGAGGGUCAUUCGAUACUGCUCGACUUGAAGGCAGGAGAGGGUAGUGGAAUUCCCGGUGUAGUGGUGAAAUGCGUAGAUAUCGGGAGGAACACCAGUGGCGAAGGCGACAUGCUGGGUUGCACCUGACGCUGAGUUGCGAAAGUGUGGGGAGCAAACGGG